AAAUUGAAGAGUUUGAUCAUGGCUCAGAUUGAACGCUGGCGGCAGGCCUAACACAUGCAAGUCGAACGGUAACAGGAAACAGCUUGCUGUUUCGCUGACGAGUGGCGGACGGGUGAGUAAUGUCUGGGAAACUGCCUGAUGGAGGGGGAUAACUACUGGAAACGGUAGCUAAUACCGCAUAACGUCGCAAGACCAAAGAGGGGGACCCUCGGGCCUCUUGCCAUCGGAUGUGCCCAGAUGGGAUUAGCUUGUUGGUGGGGUAACGGCUCACCAAGGCGACGAUCCCUAGCUGGUCUGAGAGGAUGACCAGCCACACUGGAACUGAGACACGGUCCAGACUCCUACGGGAGGCAGCAGUGGGAAUAUUGCACAAUGGGCGCAAGCCUGAUGCAGCCAUGCCGCGUGUAUGAAGAAGGCCUUCGGGUUGUAAAGUACUUUCAGCGGGGAGGAAGGGAGUAAAGUUAAUACCUUUGCUCAUUGACGUUACCCGCAGAAGAAGCACCGGCUAACUCCGUGCCAGCAGCCGCGGUAAUACGGAGGGUGCAAGCGUUAAUCGGAAUUACUGGGCGUAAAGCGCACGCAGGCGGUUUGUUAAGUCAGAUGUGAAAUCCCCGGGCUCAACCUGGGAACUGCAUCUGAUACUGGCAAGCUUGAGUCUCGUAGAGGGGGUAGAAUUCCAGGUGUAGCGGUGAAAUGCGUAGAGAUCUGGAGGAAUACCGGUGGCGAAGGCGGCCCCCUGGACGAAGACUGACGCUCAGGUGCGAAAGCGUGGGGAGCAAACAGGAUUAGAUACCCUGGUAGUCCACGCCGUAAACGAUGUCGACUUGGAGGUUGUGCCCUUGAGGCGUGGCUUCCGGAGCUAACGCGUUAAGUCGACCGCCUGGGGAGUACGGCCGCAAGGUUAAAACUCAAAUGAAUUGACGGGGGCCCGCACAAGCGGUGGAGCAUGUGGUUUAAUUCGAUGCAACGCGAAGAACCUUACCUGGUCUUGACAUCCACGGAAGUUUUCAGAGAUGAGAAUGUGCCUUCGGGAACCGUGAGACAGGUGCUGCAUGGCUGUCGUCAGCUCGUGUUGUGAAAUGUUGGGUUAAGUCCCGCAACGAGCGCAACCCUUAUCCUUUGUUGCCAGCGGUCCGGCCGGGAACUCAAAGGAGACUGCCAGUGAUAAACUGGAGGAAGGUGGGGAUGACGUCAAGUCAUCAUGGCCCUUACGACCAGGGCUACACACGUGCUACAAUGGCGCAUACAAAGAGAAGCGACCUCGCGAGAGCAAGCGGACCUCAUAAAGUGCGUCGUAGUCCGGAUUGGAGUCUGCAACUCGACUCCAUGAAGUCGGAAUCGCUAGUAAUCGUGGAUCAGAAUGCCACGGUGAAUACGUUCCCGGGCCUUGUACACACCGCCCGUCACACCAUGGGAGUGGGUUGCAAAAGAAGUAGGUAGCUUAACCUUCGGGAGGGCGCUUACCACUUUGUGAUUCAUGACUGGGGUGAAGUCGUAACAAGGUAACCGUAGGGGAACCUGCGGUUGGAUCACCUCCUUACCUUAAAGAAGC
rnacentral:rRNA from 1 species